CUUGGUCAUUUAGAGGAGUAAAAGUCGUAACAAGGUUUCCGUAGGUGAACCUGCGGAAGGAUCAUUCAGAGUUCAUGCCCUUACGGGUAGAUCUCCCACCCUUUGAGUACUAUACUUUGUUGCUUUGGCAGGCCGCUUUGGCUACCGGCUUCGGCUGGUGAGUGCUGCCAGAGGACCCCAAAUUCUGAAUUAUAGUGUCGUCUGAGAACUAUAAAUAGUUAAAACUUUCAACAACGGAUCUCUUGGUUCUGGCAUCGAUGAAAACGCAGCGAAAUGCGAUAAGUAAUGUGAAUUGCAGAAUUCAGUGAAUCUCGAAUCUUUGAACGCACAUUGCGCCCCUUGGUAUUCCGGGGGGCAUGCUGUUCGAGCGUCAUUAUAACCCUCAAGCCUAGCUUGGUGUUGGAGCCUGCUCUGGGCAGCUCUUGAAAUCAGUGGCGGUGCCGUCUGGCUCUAAGCGUGUAACUUUUCUCGCUACAGAGUCCCGGCGGUUGCUUGCCAACAACCCCAAUUUUCUAUGGUUGACCUYGGWUCAGGUAGGGAUACCCGCUGAACUUAACAUAUCAAUAAGCGGAGGA
rnacentral:rRNA from 1 species